rnacentral:rRNA from 1 species
UACGGAGGGGGCUAGCGUUGUUCGGAAUUACUGGGCGUAAAGCGCACGUAGGCGGCUUUGCAAGUCAGAGGUGAAAGCCCGGGGCUCAACCCCGGAAUUGCCUUUGAGACUGCAUCGCUAGAAUUGUGGAGAGGUAAGUGGAAUUCCGAGUGUAGAGGUGAAAUUCGUAGAUAUUCGGAAGAACACCAGUGGCGAAGGCGACUUACUGGACACAUAUUGACGCCGAGGUGCGAAAGCGUGGGGAGCAAACAGG